rnacentral:rRNA from 1 species
UACGUAGGGUGAAGCGUUGUCCGGAAUUAUUGGGCGUAAAGAGCUUGUAGGCGGUUUGUCGCGUCUGCUGUGAAAUUUCGGGGCUCAACCCCGAACUUGCAGUGGGUACGGGCAGACUAGAGUGUGGUAGGGGAGACUGGAAUUCCUGGUGUAGCGGUGAAAUGCGCAGAUAUCAGGAGGAGCACCGAUGGCGAAGGCAGGUCUCUGGGCCAUAACUGACGCUGAGAAGCGAAAGCAUGGGGAGCGAACAGG